AGAGUUUGAUCAUGGCUCAGAGCGAACGCUGGCGGCAUGCUUAACACAUGCAAGUCGCACGGCCGGGGGUAACUCCGGCAGUGGCGGACGGGUGAGUAACGCGUAGGUAUCUAUCCUUGGGUGGGGGACAACCGUGGGAAACUACGGCUAAUACCGCAUGAUGACCGAGGUCCAAAGGCGCAAGUCGCCCGGGGAGGAGCCUGCGUACGAUUAGCUUGUUGGUGGGGUAAAGGCCUACCAAAGCGACGAUCGUUAGCUGGUCUGAGAGGAUGAUCAGCCACAUUGGGACUGAGACACGGCCCAAACUCCUACGGGAGGCAGCAGUGGGGAAUAUUGGACAAUGGGCGAAAGCCUGAUCCAGCAAUGCCGCGUGUGUGAAGAAGGUCUUCGGAUUGUAAAGCACUUUCGACGGGGACGAUGAUGACGGUACCCGUAGAAGAAGCCCCGGCUAACUUCGUGCCAGCAGCCGCGGUAAUACGAAGGGGGCUAGCGUUGCUCGGAAUGACUGGGCGUAAAGGGCGCGUAGGCGGAUGGCACAGUCAGAUGUGAAAUUCCCGGGCUUAACCUGGGGGCUGCAUUUGAUACGUGUUGUCUAGAGUGAGGAAGAGGGUCGUGGAAUUCCCAGUGUAGAGGUGAAAUUCGUAGAUAUUGGGAAGAACACCGGUGGCGAAGGCGGCGACCUGGUCCUUUACUGACGCUGAGGCGCGAAAGCGUGGGGAGCAAACAGGAUUAGAUACCCUAGUAGUCC
rnacentral:rRNA from 1 species